GGGCUUCGGCCCUAAGUAGAGUGGCGCACGGGUGAGUAACGCGUAGGUAAUCUACCUCUGGAUUGGGGAUAACUCUGCGAAAGCGGAGCUAAUACCGAAUGGUCUGGCUUUAUUUUGAUGAAGUCGGUAAAGGAUGCCUCUGCAUAUGCAUCUGUCCAGAGAUGAGCCUGCGUCCCAUUAGCUAGUUGGUAGGGUAAAGGCCUACCAAGGCGACGAUGGGUAGCUGGUCUGAGAGGAUGAUCAGCCACACUGGAACUGGAACACGGUCCAGACUCCUACGGGAGGCAGCAGUGGGGAAUAUUGGGCAAUGGGCGCAAGCCUGACCCAGCAACGCCGUGUGAGGGAUGAAGGCCUUCGGGUCGUAAACCUCUGUCAGAAGGGAAGAACGGGCACAGUUCGAAUAGGGCUGUGUUUUGACGGUACCUUCAGAGGAAGCACCGGCUAACUCCGUGCCAGCAGCCGCGGUAAUACGGAGGGUGCGAGCGUUAUUCGGAAUCACUGGGCGUAAAGGGCGCGUAGGCGGCCUGGUAAGUCAGGGGUGAAAUCCCACGGCUCAACCGUGGAAUUGCCUUUGAAACUGCUGGGCUUGGAUCCUGGAGAGGGUGGCGGAAUUCCUGGUGUAGGAGUGAAAUCCGUAGAUAUCAGGAGGAACACCGGUGGCGAAGGCGGCCACCUGGACAGGUAUCGACGCUGAGGCGCGAAAGUGUGGGGAGCAAACAGGAUUAGAUACCCUGGUAGUCCACACCGUAAACGAUGGAUACUAGGUGUUGGGGGCAUGACCCUCAGUGCCGGAGCUAACGCNUUAA
rnacentral:rRNA from 1 species